GAGUUUUGAGAAAUAUGAAGCUUUCAUUUUUAUUUAAAAAUGUUUCAAAGCUUUUUUAAUUUUUUAAUUUUAUUUUUGCCAUGACAUGUUUUUAUCUGAUCAUUUAAAAAAUUUGUUUUAGACACAGUCUCACUCUGUCACCCAGGUUGGAAUGCAGUGGUACCAUCUCAGCUCAAUGCAACUUUCAUCUUGUGGGUUCAAGCAAUCCUCCUGCUUCAGCCUCCACAAUAGCUGGGACUACAGGCGCAUGCCACCACGCCUGACUUAACAGCUGUAGCUCACUGCAACUUCGACCUCCUGAGCUCAAGGGAUCAUCCUACCUAAACCUUCCACAAGUAGCUGGGACCACAGACAAGGUCUCACUCUGUCCACCCAGGCUGGAGUGCAAUGCCAUGAUCAUGAUUCACUGCAGACAACCUCCCUGGGCUCAGUUGAUCUUCCUGCCUCAGCCCCCUGAAUACUUGGGACUACAGUUUCCCUCUUUUGCCCAGGCUGGAGUACAAUGGUGCAAUCUUCACUGACUGCAACCCCUGCCUCCUGGAUUCAAGAAAUUCUUGGGCCUCUGCCUCCCAAGCAGCUGGGAAUACAGGUGGAGAGAGACAUUUAGAAAUUCCAACUUGCCAACGUGUGCUAGUGAGAGCUUCAGUGACCAGCGCCUCAUUAUUCCUUCAUCGGUCUCCUGAAUCAUCAAUUUCUGCCUCUUCACGGGAUCACUGCUAGUACUAUAGAUACUAACAUGCUAUGAUGUCUUAAUAAAAUCUUCCCUAAAAAUA